GAAACGUUCCACCUUUUAAUCUGGACUUUUCACCUAGCUUCCUUUACUCCAAGAAACUAUAAGUUUAGCCUCUCAUCCUCUGGGAAAACAUCCUCAGAGGCUGUUUGGCUUCCAAGAAAAUAGAAAAUAGUAGAGAGAAAAAGAAAGCAAAAGAGAUCUCUGUAUUUCACUAAGUGUAGAAUUUACAUCAGUUGGUCUCCUGGAGAAAGCUCCCGAGAGUGUUUUUUUCAGUGUUUACAAGAGAAUUUAUAUAAGAAGGUAAUUUUACCCUUCCUUGGAUACUUCCUAGCUAAGGAAUUACAUGAGUGGCUGAAUACAAGGAGAAAAUGGAAAUUUAGACACAAAAAUAUCAGAAGAAAAAGAGUCGGCAAAAAUAUCCAAUUUUCG
rnacentral:lncRNA from 1 species